UUUUUGGAUUUGUUAACCCUAGAACCAUCCAUUUUCCCCAUCUUCCUAAUCCUCUGCCUCCCGAACCUGUCCUUCAGCAUCCAUGGCACCAACUCGUCAUCCAUUCCAAACCUAUCUUCAUCAUCCACAUCAUAAUUGUGAAUCUCUUCCUCCUGAUCAUCAUCAUCAUGAUCAUAGCAAACAUCAACGAUGGUCAGCGUCAGUUGGGGUGGUGAGACUGACAGAGACUCCACGGAAAUGACUUCACCAGGCGAUUAGCUUUCCCCAUCCUCCUCCUUCCCGUUUACAUCAUGUCGUCGUUGAUGACAUCAUCUUCGUUCGUAAAGGAGCAUAGAUCUUGCUCUUCAUCUUCAGGUGAAGAUGGGUCCACGAAUUCCCAUGAAGACAGUCAUCAAUGACGUCAUAUACUUCUUCGACGGAAGAGAAGGAACCAAUAUUGGAUCCAUUACUUGUUGCCAUGAUUAUUCUGGUUUUUCUAAACAUUUUGAUUUUGAUUUAUGUUCUCUCAAAGAUAAUUUAA
rnacentral:lncRNA from 1 species